rnacentral:lncRNA from 7 species
AUUGGGCCACCUGGCUGGAAUUCUCCUACCUCGGCCCAGUGCGCGUGCGGCCCACCUAAUGAAACACGCGGACAUGUGGGCCAGGGGCCGCGCCACAUCUGCGUCACUGACGGGAGGGACCAUCUGGUCAACCACUCACCUCGCGUGCGGGUGAACUAAAGUCGCAAACAACCGGGCACCCUCACCAGUCGCUCGUCUUCUUCGCACACACCGAAGACUUGGUUCUCAUGCGAUAUGGGCAGUGGUCGUCGCCGGUGAUCCGCUUCCUUGGGGAGAUUUCGGCUGCGGGGACUCCUCGUAGUGCUUCUGUGGUGCUCGGCGGGCGUAGUUCUUGGGAUUUCGGAGCUCGCGGGUUGCUGGUGCGGGGCGUUUUUCUCACCGGAGCACAGCCCUUCCACUCACCCGCGCCUCGCCGUGGUCCAGUCUCUGCGCCUCCCGAUUGCCGGUGAGAAAGCCGCCAUCAGGCUCGCCUAUCCCUCCUCUUUAU